GGAUGUGAGGGCAACCUGACUGCAACAUCUGUCACCCCAUUGAUCUCCAGUGUUGAUUCGGCUGAUCUGGCUGGCUAGGAUGGUGUCCCCUUCCUCCCUCAAUGCUCCAUGUGCAUCCCUUCCGAAGCUACUCGCGGGGUUGAAGAGGAUGACCACCCCCUAUAAAGGAGGACCGUUCCUCGGUCAAGGGUAUACGAGUAGCUGCACUCCCCUGCUAGAACCUCCAAACAAGCUCUCAAAUUGUCCAGGUGUGUCAGCUCUUCCUUUGAUACAUCAGCAGAAAACAGCAAACCUUCCUUAUGUAAAUGCAGAUAGGCAUGUAAAGCACUCAGCUUUCCGGGUGA
rnacentral:snRNA from 1 species